rnacentral:rRNA from 1 species
GAUGAACGCUGGUUGCUUGCCUAAUACAUGCAAGUCGAGCGAACGGACGAGAAGCUUGCUUCUCUGAUGUUAGCGGCGGACGGGUGAGUAACACGUGGAUAACCUACCUAUAAGACUGGGAUAACUUCGGGAAACCGGAGCUAAUACCGGAUAAUAUUUUGAACCGCAUGGUUCAAAAGUGAAAGACGGUCUUGCUGUCACUUAUAGAUGGAUCCGCGCUGCAUUAGCUAGUUGGUAAGGUAACGGCUUACCAAGGCAACGAUGCAUAGCCGACCUGAGAGGGUGAUCGGCCACACUGGAACUGAGACACGGUCCAGACUCCUACGGGAGGCAGCAGUAGGGAAUCUUCCGCAAUGGGCGAAAGCCUGACGGAGCAACGCCGCGUGAGUGAUGAAGGUCUUCGGAUCGUAAAACUCUGUUAUUAGGGAAGAACAUAUGUGUAAGUAACUGUGCACAUCUUGACGGUACCUAAUCAGAAAGCCACGGCUAACUACGUGCCAGCAGCCGCGGUAAUACGUAGGUGGCAAGCGUUAUCCGGAAUUAUUGGGCGUAAAGCGCGCGUAGGCGGUUUUUUAAGUCUGAUGUGAAAGCCCACGGCUCAACCGUGGAGGGUCAUUGGAAACUGGAAAACUUGAGUGCAGAAGAGGAAAGUGGAAUUCCAUGUGUAGCGGUGAAAUGCGCAGAGAUAUGGAGGAACACCAGUGGCGAAGGCGACUUUCUGGUCUGUAACUGACGCUGAUGUGCGAAAGCGUGGGGAUCAAACAGGAUUAGAUACCCUGGUAGUCCACGCCGUAAACGAUGAGUGCUAAGUGUUAGGGGGUUUCCGCCCCUUCGUGCUGCAGCUAACGCAUUAAGCACUCCGCCUGGGGAGUACGACCGCAAGGUUGAAACUCAAAGGAAUUGACGGGGACCCGCACAAGCGGUGGAGCAUGUGGUUUAAUUCGAAGCAACGCGAAGAACCUUACCAAAUCUUGACAUCCUUUGACAACUCUAGAGAUAGAGCCUUCCCCUUCGGGGGACAAAGUGACAGGUGGUGCAUGGUUGUCGUCAGCUCGUGUCGUGAGAUGUUGGGUUAAGUCCCGCAACGAGCGCAACCCUUAAGCUUAGUUGCCAUCAUUAAGUUGGGCACUCUAAGUUGACUGCCGGUGACAAACCGGAGGAAGGUGGGGAUGACGUCAAAUCAUCAUGCCCCUUAUGAUUUGGGCUACACACGUGCUACAAUGGACAAUACAAAGGGCAGCGAAACCGCGAGGUCAAGCAAAUCCCAUAAAGUUGUUCUCAGUUCGGAUUGUAGUCUGCAACUCGACUAAAUGAAGCUGGAAUCGCUAGUAAUCGUAGAUCAGCAUGCUACGGUGAAUACGUUCCCGGGUCU